GUCUUCUUUAUCAAACAGGUCUGCUUGUUGAAGGAAUAAACAUGCGUUGCUAGGCGACAAAGAUUGUAAGCAGAACUCCUCACAUUGCUUUUCCAGUCCUGUGAU